rnacentral:misc_RNA from 1 species
AACAAAUUUAUAAGGGGUCACUACGGCGGCUGGGCAGAAGAGGAAGAUUGACCUGGCUUACCUAGUUGGUUGCUGGUUCUGCUCUGGCUCAGUCUUGAUGGCACACUUUAUUUUUCACAAGGCGACACCUCGUCAUCUUGUCACCUGUUGCCUCUCAGGUCCAGGGCAGCUGCCUUGCUUCAUUUGCCUCGCCUUGGCCUGGGGAGUUG